UAAUAUUGCCACACACGUCUCAAUGGAACAC
rnacentral:piRNA from 1 species